UUUCCGUAGGUGAACCUGCGGAAGGAUCAUUAAAGAGAUCAUGCCCUCACGGGUAGACCUCCCACCCUUUGUUUACAAUACCUUUGUUGCUUUGGCGGGCCCGUUUGGCCCCGCGCUGAACAACCGGCCCCGGCUGGUCAGUGCCCGCCAGAGAACCGAAAACUCUGAAUUAAAUGUCGUCUGAGUACUAUGUAAUAGUUAAAACUUUCAACAACGGAUCUCUUGGCUCUG
rnacentral:misc_RNA from 1 species